rnacentral:rRNA from 1 species
GACGAACGCUGGCGGCGUGCCUAAUACAUGCAAGUAGAACGCUGAAGGAGGAGCUUGCUCUUCUGGAUGAGUUGCGAACGGGUGAGUAACGCGUAGGUAACCUGCCUGGUAGCGGGGGAUAACUAUUGGAAACGAUAGCUAAUACCGCAUAAGAGUAGAUGUUGCAUGACAUUUACUUAAAAUGUGCAAUUGCAUCACUACCAGAUGGACCUGCGUUGUAUUAGCUAGUUGGUGGGGUAACGGCUUAACAAGGCGACGAUACAUAGCCGACCUGGGAGGGGGAUGGGCCACACUGGGACUGAGACACGGCCCAGACUCCUACGGGAGGCAGCAGUCGGGAACCUUCGGCAAUGGACGGAAGUCUGACCGAGCAACGCCGCGUGAGUGAAGAAGGUUUUCGGAUCGUAAAGCUCUGUUGUAAGAGAAGAACGAGUGUGAGAGUGGAAAGUUCACACUGUGACGGUAUCUAACCAGAAAGGGACGGCUAACUACGUG